rnacentral:tRNA from 1 species
GGAGAGGUCGCAUAGCUUGGCCGAGUGCGCGGGCCUGGAAAGCUCGUAACCGAUAAGGUUCGUGGGUUCAAAUCCCACCCUCUCCGCCA